rnacentral:misc_RNA from 1 species
CUAUAUCCCGAGAAGAACUACGUUUACAAUCUGGGUCAUCUGUUUUAAAGGUUACAGAGAAUUCCCACUGCUUUCUGGACUCCGGAUCGAGUUUCAAGGUAAGUAUGUGAAUAAUAAUGAUAUCCCAGGUACUUACGUCUAUGCCUAAGUUAGUCAGUGAACUCAAACAAUCAUUUGUAGUAUCAAUUAAAUUUUUUAAACCAUAAGACGAUUCACAUGUAAUGUUUUUUUGACUUAAUAAACGUUUUAGAAUAAAGUGC